rnacentral:rRNA from 1 species
UUCCGGUUGAUCCUGCCGGAGGCUACCGCUAUUGGAGUUCGAUUAAGCCAUGCGAGUCGCGAGAAAUUAGAUUCUCGGCGUACCGCUCAGUAACACGUGGGUAACCUGCCCUAUGCUGGAUAAUAACCUCGGGAAACUGAGAAUAAUGAUCCAUAGUUCACUACGCCUGGAACGGUGAGUGGAUGAAAGCUCCGGCGGCAUAGGAUGGGCCUGCGGCGUAUCAGGUUGUAGGGGGUGUAACGUACCCUCUAGCCCUCUACGCGUACGGGUGUUGGGAGACAUAGCCCGGAGAUGGAUUCUGAGACACGAAUCCAGACCCUACGGGGUGCAGCAGGCGCGAAAACUUGGCAAUGCGAGAAAUCGUGACCAGGGAACUCCAAGUGCAUCGGGUAAGACCGGUGCUUUUCUUGACUCUAAAUAGGUCUUGGAAUAAGGGGUGGGUAAGGACGGUGCCAGCCGCCGCGGUAAUACCGGCGCCUCAAGUGGUAGUCGCUUUUAUUGGGCCUAAAACGUCCGUAGCCGGUCUGAUACAUUCGUGGGUAAAUCAACCAGCUUAACUGGUUGAAUUCUGCGAGGACGGUCAGACUUGGGACCGGGAGAGGUGUGGGGUACGCUCAGGGUAGGGGUAAAAUCCUGUCAUCCUGAGCGGACCACCUGUUGCGAAGGCGCCACACUAGAACGGAUCCGACGGUCAGGGACGAAGCCUAGGGGCACGAACCGGAUUAGAUACCCGGGUAGUCCUAGGUGUAAACGCUGUGGACUUGAUGUUGGGGGUGCUCCGAGCACUCUCAGUGUCGAAGCGAAGGUGAUAAGUCCACUGCCUGGGAAGUACGGUCGCAAGGCUGAAACUUAAAGGAAUUGGCGGGGGAGCACCGCAACCUGAGGAUUGUGCGGUUUAAUUGGAGUCAACGCCGGA